rnacentral:rRNA from 1 species
GUCUACAGCCAUGCUACCCUGAACAAGCCCCAUCCCGUCUGAUCUCAGAAGCUAAGCAGGGUCAGGACUGGUUAGUACUUGGAUGGGAGACCACCUAGAAAGACCAGGUGCUGCAGGUG